rnacentral:rRNA from 1 species
ACGUGCUAAAAAGUCCGCAAGGACUGCAUUUAUUAGAUCAAAGCCAAACCCAGCAAUGGGAUUGAUGAUUCAUAAUAACUUUGCGAAUCGUAUGGCCUUGUGCCGACGAUGUUUCAUUCAAAUUUCCGCUCUAUCAACUUUGAACCGUAAUAUAGUGGAUUACGGUGGUCGUGACGGAUACGGAGAAUUAGGGUUCGGUUCCGGAGAGUCAGCCUGAGAGACGGCCGACACAUCCAAGGAAGGCAGCAGGCGCGAAACUUACUCAAUGCCAACACGGUGAAGUAGUGACCUGAAAUAUGUAUGCGGGGCUUCUUUAAGUCUCGUUAUUACAAAUGAGUUAAAUGUAAAACACUAAACGAGUAGCCACUGGAGGGCAAGUCUGGUGCCAGCAGCCGCGGUAAUUCCAGCUCCAGUAGUGUAUUUUAAAGUUGUUGCUGUUAAAAAGCUCGUAGUCGAACCUCGGGAUGGAACUAGGCGUCGCGCGCAAGCGUUGUACGGCCUGGAUCCUUCCCUCCGUCGCGCAGUGAUGGCAUGUGAUUUAUUUUGCGUGUCGUUGCACGUGACCUUUUACUUUGAGGAAAUCGGAGUGUUUCAAGCAGGCAUUUGCCAUUGAACGUUUCAGCAUGGGAUAAUUGAACAGGACCUGUUGGUCCGGUUUGGUUGGCUUUACGGACCGAGGUAAUGAUUAAUAGGGGUGGUUGGGGGCACUUGUAUUCUCUGCGAAGGGGUGAAAUCCUAUGAUUCAGGGAGGACAAACUUAAGCGAAAGCAUUUGCCAAGCACGUUCCCAUUGAUCAAGAACGAAAGUCGGGGGUUCGAAGACGAUUAGAUACCGUCGUAGUCCCGACCGUAAACUAUGCCGCCUCAGGAUUGGCUGUCGUUAUUUGAUGACUCAGCCAGCACUGUCCGGGAAACCAAAGGUUUUAGGUUCAGGGGGGAGUAUGCUCGCAAGAGUGAAACUUAAAGGAAUUGACGGAAGGGCACCACCAGGCGUGGAGCUUGCGGCUUAAUUUGACCCAACACGGGGAAACUUACCAGGGCCGGACACAGUGAGGAUUGACAGACUGAAGGCUCUUUCUUGAUUCUGUGGGUGGUGGUGCAUGGCCGUUCUUAGUUGGUGGAGUGAUCUGUCUGCUUAAUUGCGAUAACGAACGAGACCGUCGCCUGCUAAAUAGAAACGCUUAUCUUUGAUAGGUGGACUUCUUCUUAGAGGGACUCUCUGUGUGAGCAGAGGGAAGAUGACGGCAAUAACAGGUCGGUGAUGCCCUUAGAUGUUCUGGGCCGCACGCGCGCUACACUGAUAACUUCAACGAGUGUAUAACCUGCCUCGAUAGGGGUGGGUAAUCUUUUCAACGGUUAUCGUGAUGGGAAUAGAUGCUUGUAAUUUUUCAUCUUGAACGAGGAAUGCCUUGUAGACGUGAUUCAUCACAUCGCGUCGAAUACGUCCCUGCCCUUUGUACACACCGCCCGUCGCUUCUACCGAUUGAGUGUUCCGGUGAGGUAUUUGGAUUACGAAUGGUUCGUGUUUACACUGCCAAUUGUGAAAAGUCUAUCGAACCUUGACACUUGGAGGAAGAAGAAGUCGUAACAAGGUC